ACUCCCUGGCCCGCCCGCACACCUCCGCCCGCACGCAGACUGCCCACCCGCACCGUAGUCCGCUGUACCGCCCACGGCUGGCGAGGGUGAUGUCCGGCCAGCUGCUGGUCCUCCCAGGUGGCGGCGCCAGCCCCUGCCUCGGCCACAAGUUCCCCGGAAUUGAGAUGAACUCGCCCGAACAGCGCGCCGUGGACAACGUGUACAGCCCCCUCCCCGUGCCAUCCGCCCACACCGUCUUCGUCUUCCCUUGAGACGCUCACCUGCCUCCUGCGAUCUGUUUGUGGAUGCUGCCCACAAGGAUCCUCUCCCGCAGGAUCUCACAGGAGCGCCCGUGGGCCACCAGCGAGGCCGCUCUUCCGCUUAUAGUCAUGCCCUUAUAGAAGCAUACCACGGGCAGCAUGGCCCCGGGCAAGCGGUGGCCUCGUGUGUGUGGCACUGGCUGGGUGGCGCUGCUCCGCCAACGGUUUCAUCCGCUCAUUCUGUAUAUAUACAUGAAAGAUUAUGCAUUAUGUGUAUAUCCAUUUUUCCAUUGCAUUUGCACAUUCUUUUCAUCAGUGACGUGUGAACUACCUGUGAUUUUUGUUUGGACUGUGACUGCAUCUAGUCUUAUUGUUGUUUUGUUGAGAAAUAUAUCUUUUCUUUGAA